UGGGGAAUAUUGGACAAUGGGCGAAAGCCUGAUCCAGCAACGCCGCGUGAGGGAUGACGGCCUUCGGGUUGUAAACCUCUUUCGACCUCGACGAAGAGUGAUUGACGGUAGGGGUGGAAGAAGCACCGGCCAACUACGUGCCAGCAGCCGCGGUAACACGUAGGGUGCGAGCGUUGUCCGGAAUUAUUGGGCGUAAAGAGCUCGUAGGCGGUGUGUCACGUCGGCCGUGAAAAACCUGCAGCUUAACUGUGGGCGUGCGGUCGAUACGGGCAUCACUGGAGUUCGGCAGGGGAGACUGGAAUUCCUGGUGUAGCGGUGAAAUGCGCAGAUAUCAGGAGGAACACCGGUGGCGAAGGCGGGUCUCUGGGCCGAUACUGACGCUGAGGAGCGAAAGCGUGGGGAGCGAACAGGAUUAGAUACC
rnacentral:rRNA from 1 species